rnacentral:lncRNA from 9 species
GAAAGCUGAGGUUGAAAGGUUGAGCUAAAGAGCUUUGUUUUUUUUAAAUCGUACAGUCUGCCGGAAAUCACUGAGGGUUUCUGUAUUGUUGAAUGAUGCGAUCUGCCUUCCUUUGGGAAGAUAACCUUGUCCUGGGAUUAGGAAGAGGAGGAAGAGCUCUACACCCACCUGAUCUGGAAGGGGAGCUCUUCCAGGCCUCUGACUUGUGA